AGCAGUCGCCACGGUAAUACGGAGGGUGCAAGCGUUAAUCGGAAUUACUGGGCGUAAAGCGCACGCAGGCGGUCUGACAAGUCAGAUGUGAAAUCCCCGGGCUUAACCUGGGAACUGCAUUUGAAACUGUCAGGCUGGAGUCUUGUAGAGGGGGGUAGAAUUCCAGGUGUAGCGGUGAAAUGCGUAGAGAUCUGGAGGAAUACCGGUGGCGAAGGCGGCCCCCUGGACAAAGACUGACGCUCAGGUGCGAAAGCGUGGGGAGCAAACAGGAUUAGAUACCCCAGUAGUCCCUGUCUCUUAUAA
rnacentral:rRNA from 1 species